GGCCGGCUCGCGGCACGUCCCCCACGGACAGGGCCUCGGGGGGUGGGACGCGGGGUGCGGGGGGGGACAUGGGCGCCCUGGGCUCACCCGAGGCCGAAAGUGGAAACGGGCAAGGAAAUGGGAGAAAGGAUGCCAGGCGCCGGGGAACUGGCCAAUGAGGAGUGGGCGGGUGGGCGUGAGCCUGGGGAUCCCGGGCCCAGCCGCCGGGGGCCGGAGGGCGGGACUUCCUGCUCCGCGCACCUUCCUGGUCUUUUGUUUCAUAGCAACGGAGUAGUGGCCGCGAGGGCGUCCCGGGCGGGGGCGGGGCCGCGGCCGCGGGAUCCCGGCAGCCCCCAGGGCUCGGGCGCCGCCGCCCCGGGACGGGACGGGACGCGCACCGGCCCGAAGUCCCGGAGCUCCCGAGCGAUCCCUCUUACGCAUCUUAUUUGUGCACUGUGUUUUCACACAUUCAAAUGUAAACUGUGCCCAAAUAUCCUUGAAAGAGCACCCCAGGAGAAAUAAGCUGGACCACUAUGCUAUCAUCAAGUUCCCCCUCACCACCGAGUCAGCCACAAAAAGAAGAAGAAGAAGAAGAAGAAGAAGAAGAAGAAGAAGAAGAAGAAGAAGAAGACGACGUCAAAACACACUCGUGUUCAUUGUGGUGUCAAGGCCAACAAGCACCAGAUCAAACAGACUAUGAUGAAGUUUUAUGAUAUUGAUACGGCCAAGGUCAACACCCUGAUCAGGCCCGAUGGAGAGAAGAAGGUAAAUGUUUAACUGGCUCUCGACUAUGAUGCUUGAAUGUUGCCAACAAACUUGGGAUCAUCUAAGCUGAGUCUAGCUCGUUAAAUCUAAAUAUAAAUUUUCACCAUAAAAAAAUAAAAACCAACUCUGUGAAAGCA
rnacentral:lncRNA from 1 species